rnacentral:rRNA from 1 species
GAGUUUGAUCCUGGCUCAGGAUGAACGCCGGCGGCGUGCUUAACACAUGCAAGUCGAACGGAGUGCCUUAGAAAGAGGAUUCGUCCAAUUGAUAAGGUUACUUAGUGGCGGACGGGUGAGUAACGCGUGAGGAACCUGCCUCGGAGUGGGGAAUAACAGACCGAAAGGCCUGCUAAUACCGCAUAAUGCAGUUGGACCGCAUGGUCCUGACUGCCAAAGAUUUAUCGCUCUGAGAUGGCCUCGCGUCUGAUUAGCUUGUUGGCGGGGUAAUGGCCCACCAAGGCGACGAUCGGUAGCCGGACUGAGAGGUUGAACGGCCACAUUGGGACUGAGACACGGCCCAGACUCCUACGGGAGGCAGCAGUGGGGGAUAUUGCGCAAUGGGGGAAACCCUGACGCAGCAACGCCGCGUGAAGGAUGAAGGUUUUCGGAUUGUAAACUUCUUUUAUUUAGGACGAACAAUGACGGUACUAAAUGAAUAAGCUCCGGCUAACUACGUGCCAGCCGCCGCGGUAAUAC